rnacentral:rRNA from 1 species
UGCAAGUCGAGCGGAGGUGCCUGAAGAGCAAUCGGAGGGUGUCUGAGCGGCGGACGGGUGAGUAACGCGUGAGCGAUCUGCCUUUCACAGGGGGAUAACGCAGCGAAAGCUGCACUAAUACCGCAUGAGACCACGGUACUGAUGGUACAGGGGUCAAAGGAGAGAUCCGGUGAGAGAUGAGCUCGCGUCCGAUUAGGUAGUUGGUGAGGUAACGGCCCACCAAGCCAAUGAUCGGUAGCCGGCCUGAGAGGGUGAACGGCCACAUUGGAACUGAGAGACGGUCCAAACUCCUACGGGAGGCAGCAGUGGGGAAUAUUGGGCAAUGGGGGAAACCCUGACCCAGCAACGCCGCGUGAGGGAAGAAGGUUUUCGGAUUGUAAACCUCUGUUCUUGGAGAAGAGGAGAAGACGGUAUGCAAGGAGGAAGCCCCGGCUAACUACGUGCCAGCAGCCGCGGUAAUACGUAGGGGGCGAGCGUUGUCCGGAAUGAUUGGGCGUAAAGGGCGCGUAGGCGGCCAGGCAAGUCGGUAGUGGAAGUCCAAUUUUCAAGGUUGGAAGUGCUAUUGAAACUGCAGGGCUUGAGUGCAGGAGAGGUUAUCGGAAUUCCCGGUGUAGCGGUGAAAUGCGUAGAGAUCGGGAGGAACACCAGUGGCGAAGGCGGGUAACUGGACUGCAACUGACGCUGAGGCGCGAAAGUGUGG